GACGAACCGUCCAAACGUUAUUCGGAUUUACUGGGCUUAAAGGGUGCGUAGGCGGCCUGACAAGUUGGGUGUGAAAUACCUCGGCUCAACCGAGGAACAGCGCUCAAAACUGUCGGGCUUGAGGAAGAUAGAGGUGAGCGGAACUUAAGGUGGAGCGGUGAAAUGCGUUGAUAUCUUAAGGAACACCCGUGGCGAAAGCGGCUCACUAGAUCUUUUCUGACGCUGAGGCACGAAAGCUAGGGGAGCGAACGGG
rnacentral:rRNA from 1 species